UACGGGGGGUGCGAGCGUUGCCCGGAAUUACUGGGCGUAAAGGGCGCGUAGGCGGCCUGCUAAGUCGAACGUGAAAUCCCCGGGCUCAACCCGGGAACUGCGUCCGAUACUGGCAGGCUUGAAUUCGGGAGAGGGAUGCGGAAUUCCAGGUGUAGCGGUGAAAUGCGUAGAUAUCUGGAGGAACACCGGUGGCGAAGGCGGCAUCCUGGACCGAAAUUGACGCUGAGGCGCGAAAGCCAGGGGAGCAAACGGG
rnacentral:rRNA from 1 species